GGCGUGCCUAAUACAUGCAAGUCGAACGGUCUUUCUAUGGAAGCUUGCUUCCACUGAGAAGAUAGUGGCGAACGGGUGAGUAACACGUGGGUAACCUGCCCAUAAGAGGGGGGAUAACAUCCGGAAACGGGUGCUAAUACCGCAUAGUUUUCUUGAUUGCAUGAUUGAGAAAGGAAAGACGGCCUUUGUGCUGUCGCUUAUGGAUGGACCCGCGGCGUAUUAGUUAGUUGGUGAGGUAACGGCUCACCAAGACGAUGAUACGUAGCCGACCUGAGAGGGUGAUCGGCCACAUUGGGACUGAGACACGGCCCAAACUCCUACGGGAGGCAGCAGUAGGGAAUCUUCCGCAAUGGACGAAAGUCUGACGGAGCAACGCCGCGUGAGUGAAAGAAGGUUUUCGGAUCGUAAAACUCUGUUGUCAGAGAAGAACAAGUUGGAGAGUAACUGCUCCAGCCUUGACGGUAUCUGACCAGAAAGCCACGGCUAACUACGUGCCAGCCGCCGC
rnacentral:rRNA from 1 species